AUUGAACGCUGGCGGCAUGCCUUACACAUGCAAGUCGAACGGCAGCACGGGAGCAAUCCUGGUGGCGAGUGGCGAACGGGUGAGUAAUAUAUCGGAACGUGCCCAGUCGUGGGGGAUAACGUAGCGAAAGCUACGCUAAUACCGCAUACGAUCUAUGGAUGAAAGCGGGGGAUCGCAAGACCUCGCGCGAUUGGAGCGGCCGAUAUCAGAUUAGUAGUUGGUGAGGUAAAGGCGUCACCAAGCCGACGAUCUGUAGCUGGUCUGAGAGGA
rnacentral:rRNA from 1 species